rnacentral:rRNA from 1 species
UACGUAGGUGGCAAGCGUUGUCCGGAAUUAUUGGGCGUAAAGCGCGCGCAGGCGGUCCUUUUAAGUCUGAUGUGAAAGCCCACGGCUCAACCGUGGAGGGUCAUUGGAAACUGGGGGACUUGAGUGCAGGAGAGAAGAGUGGAAUUCCACGUGUAGCGGUGAAAUGCGUAGAGAUGUGGAGGAACACCAGUGGCGAAGGCGACUCUUUGGCCUGUAACUGACGCUGAGGCGCGAAAGCGUGGGGAGCAAACAGGA